CAUACUGGUCGAAAUGUGUGAUUUGAAGUCUACCAGAAUAAUUAAACUCAUUAUUUUAGAUUUCACACAGUAUCAAAAUAAUUAUUAAAAGGAAAUGCGAUCAUUAAGUUUGGUUUAUCCUUAAGCGCAGUUUGGAAGAUAUUUGCAUCAAAUCAUUUAGUGGGGUCCGGUCAUGACAUAAACCAACCUAUAUGUAUAAUGUAAUGUAAUAUUACGCCAUCUCAUAUACAGAACAACGUAUUCAACUAAUAAAAGGUUUCUCAAUGGCCAUUAGUAGUUGAAUACGUUAGGCCGAUGAGAGCCAUUGAGAAUCCUUUAAGUAGUUGAAUACAUUGUUCUGUAUAUGAGAUGACAUAAUUGGUCUUCAAUCAAAAAUUUUCCAAGUUAUUAUAUAACGAGGAUACUGAUUUCCUUGGAUUCAAUUCGUUCCUAUAUUAUUGUACAGAAUGAAUCAGAUCAUUGAAUGCAUAAUUGCUAAUAUAUAAUAACACAUUCACCUUUCUCUACAGUAGUAUAGAUUUUAUUUGAGAAACACACUGCGUCCUAUGGUCUAUUGUGCCUUCUCUGUUGUCACAGAAUACUAUCCAAUACUGUCGGUUUAAUAAAACUUAACGCUACAGGGCUACUCCCGCCAUGAUGCAAAAUCGUGUUUGGCGUUAGGGUGGGUACAGAAGGUGUCUUUGGCACAACAGUCGGAAAAUUCGCCGCCUCCAUGACGAAACAUUGCCAACGGCCUGAGGCUGAUCGACUUCACUGGGGCCCGAAAUAUGGGCGUCUGUAGUACCAGUCAGCGCACUCGAAUCUUGGCUCGCACGUCACUAUCGACAGUCAUAACUUUUAUGUUGUGGAUAAUUUCGUAUACCUGGGAACCAGCAUCAACAACACCAACAAUUUCAGCCUUGAAAUCCAGCUCAGAAUCACUCUUGCUAACAGGUGCUACUUUGGACUGAGUAGGCAAUUGAAAAGUAAAGUCCUCUCUCGACGAACCAAAAUCAAACUCUACAAGUCGCUCAUUAUUCCCGUCCUGAUGUAUGGCGCCGAAGCGUGGACGAUGACAACAUCCGAUGGACGAUGACAACAUCCGAUGAGACUCUUGGGGUUUUCGAGAAAAAGGCUUUGCGUAAGAUUUAUGGUCCUCUGAACAUUGGCAACGGCGAAUACCGCAGACGAUGGAACGAUGAGCUGUACGAUUUAUACGGAGACAUUGACAUAGUUCAGCGAGUAAAAAGACAGCGGCUACGCUGGCUAGGUCAUGUUGUCCGAAUGGACGAAAACACUUCAGCUUUGAAAGUGUUCGAUGGAGUACCGACCGGUGGAAACAGAGGAAGAGGAAGGCCUCCACUCCGAUUCGGUCAUAAUCGGCUAAACGGUUUCUACGCCAAUUACAUAUGUACAUAUAUAUUUAUGUGCAGUGAUAAUAAUCUUGCAACAGUUGUCGUGAAAUACUUUUCGAAUGAACGCAUAUUGUUGGCAAAUUUGAUUGUGUAGCUCUUAUUCUCUCUCGCAACAUUUUGCACAGAAAGUAAUAGUUUUGUUCACCUAACGGUUGUUUCCAAUAUCGAAAACCAAAUGAUUUAGAUACCAAAGUGAUCAGUGUGACAAAUUAAUGAAAUGCGGAUGUCUGUCUGCCCGUUCGUGCAAACGAUAAUAUUGAGAUAUAUUAAUGAAACUUGGCACACAUGUUCCCCGGAUCAUUCCAGGCUAACAAAACGGCGAUAACCGAAAAGUUAUAAACUUACACCAUGGAAAUCGGAUAAUAACCACGCCCAUCCCUAAUACAAAGUUUAUGUUGAUUACUAAAAGUGUGUGUGAAACUCACUAACGAAAAACAUUAUAAACACUUAAUUUAAUGGAAAGAUGGUACAGAACGUAGGAACUCAUAUUAGUCUAAAAAUGGAAAAUGGGCGCCUACUUUUGGGUCAAAAACCAUACCUCAGAAACUACUCGACCACGCCUACUUCCCAUAUAAUUCAAUUUUGAAUCUAAUCUGAUUAAUUCAUUUUGGAAUAUAAGCCGUGAAACUGACUUCCACAAAUCUAAUAAAGGUAUGCCUUGGAUUCCACUCAGGCGCGCAGAGGCCUCGUCAUUUUCGAAAAAUAAUGGGCAAAACUUCAAGGUUAAAUUAAAAGUACGAAAUGUAAAAGUGCAUCAUAUACUCAUGCUAAGCAGCUGUCCUUUGCGCAAAACGAAAAUAACUGCAUAAGUCACGCUGUCGACAUAUUUUCAUAUGUAAAUAUCUUUUCCUGUUUAUUGUUAUUGCAAUUUUUGCAAGCAAAAUAGGUGAAAACUGUGAAAUGUAGCGUCAUAUAAUGAAAGCAAUUAUGCAUGCUCAUAAGCGUACACAUGUCAUUAUUUGCACACACUCAGAUGUGUACAUAUGUACAUAGCCUAUGAAUACAUUAUGUACAAGCGAUUACAUGCAGUUUGUCGCUUAAGUCUUUUGUAGUUUGGCAAUUACGGAAGUGACAGAGAAUUCAGUGUUGUUGUAUGAGCGAUUUAGAUAAUUAUUGAGUUAGCUGAAACGGAGCACCAUUGAAUUAGUCUAAUUUUUUUAAAAUGAAU